UACAGAGGGUGCUAGCGUUGUUCGGAAUCAUUGGGCGUAAAGGGCGCGUAGGCGGUCUGGUAAGUCAAGUGUGAAAGCCCAGGGCUCAACCUUGGAAGUGCACCUGAAACUACCAGACUUGAAUCUCGGAGAGGGUGGUGGAAUUCCCAGUGUAGAGGUGAAAUUCGUAGAUAUUGGGAGGAACACCGGUGGCGAAGGCGACCGCCUGGACGAAGAUUGACGCUGAGGCGCGAAAGCGUGGGGAGCAAACAGG
rnacentral:rRNA from 1 species